rnacentral:rRNA from 2 species
GAAAAGCGUGGGGGAGCAAACACGGAUUAGAUAUCCCUGGGUAGUGCACGCCGUAAACGAUGUCUACUACGACCGCGUGGGUGGUCCUUGAAGCUCUUAGUGUCGCGAGCUAACGCGCUAAGUAGACCGCCUGGGGAGUACGGUCGCAAGAUUAAAACUCAAAUGAAUUGACGGGGGCCCGCACACAGCGGUGGAGCAUGUGGUUUAAUUUGAUGCAACGCGAAGAACCUUACCUGUUCUUGACAUCCAGAGAACUUUCCAGAGAUGGAUUGGUGCCUUCGGGAACUCUGAGACAGGUGCUGCAUGGCCGUCGUCAGCUCGUGUCGUGAAAUGUUGGGUUAAGUCCCGUAACGAGCGCAACCCUUAUCCUUGUUUGCCAGCGGGUAAUGUUGGGAACUCCAGGGAGACUGCCGGUGACAAACCGGAGGAAGGUGGGGAUGACGUCAGGUCAUCAUGGCCCUUACGACCAGGGCUACACACGUGCUACAAUGGCGCGUACAGAGGGCUGCCAACUCGCGAGAGUGAGCCAAUCCCAAAAACGCGUCGUAGUCCGGAUCGGAGUCUGCAACUCGACUCCGUGAAGUCGGAAUCGCUAGUAUUCUCGAAUCAGAAUGUCGCGGUGAAUACGUUCCC